CCUCCUAAUCUUAAGUGUUUUUAAUUCCUAUAAUGUUGAAAUUUUGCUUUCUCUAUUUAAUUAGAGUAUUUUUUAAGAUAUCACCGUAAUUCGGUCUUAAAUUUCGAUGAAAUAUAGUUUUUUAGUGAUAUUCUCCAAGCAAAAGGGUGAACUUUUGUAAACCAUUCUAUUUUUUAUAAUAAAAAUGAUAAUUUGCUUUGCCCCGGACUGUAAACACUAUAAUGAAAGAUGGUUAUGUAGAUUCUUUAUGUUUACAAAGGAUCUAGUUGAAAAAAAGAGGUAGAUUUCAUUACUAAGUAAGAAAAUAUAGUGAUAGUAAAGAACUGAAUUUAUCCCUUUAUUACUAUUGACUCACAGACGGAAAGAUAGGGAACCAUUCUUUAGUUUGCUGGUGCCACUUUGUGAAUUCUGACCAACAAAAUGACCAAACAUUUUUAGAGCAUAUCAAGCCAAAGGUUUUUUUGAUGGACAAUUAACCUUUACAUCUAAAUUAAAAGAGUAAAGUAUAUUUUGCUUCUUGAAAUGGCAUUCAAUAUCAACUUGAGAAAGAAACAGUUUGAUUUGUUGGUAAUGACCGAAGAUGAAAUCCAAGAACUUAUGGAUUCUGUUGAAACUGAUUGGAAAAAAGCAAAACAUCCCAUUGAUGACAUUCGCAGUGACAGUAUUGAUCACUUUCCACUUUAGCUCAGCAAAGAGGAUGGUAAAAAAAUGCAGCCAGGAGAAGGGCAUGGCUCUAACCCUCAACAAUGAGCAUUACAGAAAAUUAACAGUUCCCUAGGUAACCAUCCACUGAAAAUCUUAGAUUCAUCAGGUAACCAUAUUGUCUUAUUUGGACCUACCAUCUGACCCCUACUGAAGAUUGUAAAGAACUCAAGACAGCACCUUAAGAAGCCUUCAGACCAUCAGCUAAGAUCCUUAAUAAAAUAUAUAGCUGGCCUGUAAACAUAGACUAUUUUUAUAUAAAGUAACAUCAUAAAUUCUAAAAUGUAGAUCUUGAAUUGUGACCAUAAUAAAAUGAGAAAAUAAAGCAUUUAUACUGAA